rnacentral:rRNA from 1 species
ACGGAAGGCAGCAGUGGGGAAUAUUGGGCAAUGGGCGAAAGCCUGACCCAGCAACGCCGCGUGAGGGAAGAAGGUUUUCGGAUUGUAAACCUCUGUCCUAAGGGAUGAAGGAAGUGACGGUACCUUAGGAGGAAGCCCCGGCUAACUACGUGCCAGCAGCCGCGGUAAUACGUAGGGGGCGAGCGUUGUCCGGAAUGACUGGGCGUAAAGGGCGUGUAGGCGGCCUGUUAAGUUAGGAGUGAAAGUCCAGCUUUUAAGGUUGGAAUUGCUUUUAAUACUGAUGGGCUUGAGUGCAGGAGAGGUUAGUGGAAUUCCCAGUGUAGCGGUGAAAUGCGUAGAGAUUGGGAGGAACACCAGUGGCGAAGGCGACUAACUGGACUGUAACUGACGCUGAGGCGCGAAAGUGUGGGGAGCAAACAGGAUUAGAUACCCUGGUA